rnacentral:rRNA from 1 species
UACGGAGGGUGCAAACGUUGCUCGGAAUCAUUGGGCGUAAAGCGCACGUAGGCGGUCUUCUAAGUCGGAUGUGAAAGCCCUCGGCUUAACCGAGGAAGUGCAUUCGAAACUGGGAGACUUGAAUACCGGAGAGGGUUGCGGAAUUCCCGGUGUAGAGGUGAAAUUCGUAGAUAUCGGGAGGAACACCAGUGGCGAAGGCGGCAACCUGGACGGAUAUUGACGCUGGGGUGCGAAAGCGUGGGGAGCAAACAGG